rnacentral:rRNA from 1 species
GACGUAGGGCGCGAGCGUUGUCCGGAUUUAUUGGGCGUAAAGAGCUCGUAGGCGGCUUGUCGCGUCGUCCGUGAAAACCUGCGGCUCAACUGCAGGCUGGCGGGUCGAUACGGGCAGGCUGGAGUUCGGUAGGGGGAGACUGGAAUUCCUGGUGUAGCGGUGAAAAUGCGCAGAUAUCAGGGAGGGAAACACCCGGUGGGCGAAAGGGCGGGGGU